rnacentral:lncRNA from 1 species
GCCAAUUCCUUUAUAGACUACAAUAUGAGGUAAAAAAAUUGAUGCUCAAUUUAUUCGAUCUUCAAACAUUGAAUCAAGCAAUUGAUUUUGCUGUAAAAUGUGACAAUCAAAUUUUUGAAUUUCGAUCUGAGAAUCACAUAAGUAUGCCUCAACAUUAUUAAAAUUCAAUGGCAACACCUAUGUCUUCUCUAUACAUAUCUUCAGAAGUAAAAGAUAUGCAAAUCAAUACAAUA